rnacentral:rRNA from 1 species
GGACCCGCACAAGCGGUGGAGCAUGUGGUUUAAUUCGAAGCAACGCGAAGAACCUUACCAAAUCUUGACAUCCCAAUGACAGAGUAUGUAAUGUACUUUUCUUCGGACAUUGGAGACAGGUGGUGCAUGGUUGUCGUCAGCUCGUGUCGUGAGAUGUUGGGUUAAGUCCCGCAACGAGCGCAACCCUUGUCUUUAGUAGCCAGCACGUAAAGGUGGGAACUCUAGAGAGACUGCCGGGGAUAACCCGGAGGAAGGUGGGGAUGACGUCAAAUCAUCAUGCCCCUUAUGAUUUGGGCUACACACGUGCUACAAUGGCGUAAACAAAGAGAGGCGAAAUAGUGAUAUGGAGCAAAUCUCAAAAAUAACGUCUCAGUUCGGAUUGUAGUCUGCAACUCGACUACAUGAAGCUGGAAUCGCUAGUAAUCGUGAAUCAGAAUGUCACGGUGAAUACGUUCCCGGGUCUU